UAAAAGCGCUCAGAAGAAGUUUAGUUGCUAGGAAAUUGGAAUGACGCGACAUUGAGUCGCUUCCAGAAACGCAAUUAUAAUUUUCACUUUUGUUUAAAAAUUUGUUUGAGUUUGCAGAAGCAGCGUCGUCUCUAGGUGAAUACGGGUACACAUAAGUGAAUAAUGUGACUUCUUUUCGUUACUAAGUCGCACCCACACUUCCGUAGGAUAUCCCCUGGAACGUCGUAGGAUCCAUGCACUUUUCUUUUCAUAAGUGCGUCAGCUUGGAAUUCAAAAACAUACCUGACGUGAUCGCAGAUGAUUUAUAAAAUUUUCCCCAGGAAAAUAGUCGAAGUCGCUUUUUUGAGCUCCUUACCCAAGCGACGCAUAUGCAGUCCAUCCCCCCGUGAUUUGGCACAAUGGCAAAUAAACUGUGUUGAAAUCACUGCAGGAGCUCAAACGCACAAGUCAGCCGGUAGAUGUUACCUCUUCCCUUUAGAAUGUUCCAGUCGCGCCGUGCGACUGCCAUCCAGAGGAUUUUUUUUCAUGUUUUGCGCAUGUUAACAUUGUAAAGUAUCCUUUUGGAUUAUAAUACCUUUUCUUGGAACACUUCUACAAUAUAGGAAGAUCUGAAAAAAA